rnacentral:lncRNA from 1 species
UUCCAUAGCCAUAUCUCUUUACUAGAUUCUUAAAGUUAUGCAGUUGUGUAGAUUAUAACUGUAAUACCGCUACAGCUUCUUUGGAAUGCAUUUGUCUAUAUGUAUCGAAGGUUAGGAGUUGCAAAAUCUAUUAGGCUUUGCUAAUGCAUUUGUACGAAGUUUGCAUUAUAUGCACAAGUUUAUAUCAAUGAAAAACAAG